rnacentral:rRNA from 1 species
CACUCCUGCGGGAGGCAGCAGUGGGGAAUUUUGGACAAUGGGCGAAAGCCUGAUCCAGCCAUGCCGCGUGCAGGAUGAAGGCCUUCGGGUUGUAAACUGCUUUUGUACGGAACGAAACGGCCUUUUCUAAUAAAGAGGGCUAAUGACGGUACCGUAAGAAUAAGCACCGGCUAACUACGUGCCAGCAGCCGCGGUAAUACGUAGGGUGCAAGCGUUAAUCGGAAUUACUGGGCGUAAAGCGUGCGCAGGCGGUUAUGUAAGACAGUUGUGAAAUCCCCGGGCUCAACCUGGGAACUGCAUCUGUGACUGCAUAGCUAGAGUACGGUAGAGGGGGAUGGAAUUCCGCGUGUAGCAGUGAAAUGCGUAGAUAUGCGGAGGAACACCGAUGGCGAAGGCAAUCCCCUGGACCUGUACUGACGCUCAUGCACGAAAGCGUGGGGAGCAAACAGGAUUAGAAACCCCGGUAGUCCCA